AACGAACGCUGGCGGCAUGCCUAACACAUGCAAGUCGAACGAGACCUUCGGGUCUAGUGGCGCACGGGUGCGUAACGCGUGGGAACCUGCCCUUAGGUUCGGAAUAACUCCCCGACAGGGGUGCUAAUACCGGAUAAUGUCUUCGGACCACAGAUUUAUCGCCUUUGGAUGGGCCCGCGUUGGAUUAGCUAGUUGGUAGGGUAAAAGCCUACCAAGGCGACGAUCCAUAGCUGGUCUGAGAGGAUGGUCAGCCACACUGGGACGGAGACACGGCCCAGACUACUACGGGAGGCAGCAGUGGGGAAUACUGGACAAUGGGCGAAAGGCUGAUCCAGCAAUGCCGCGUGAGUGAUGAAGGCCUGAGGGUUGUAAAGCUCUUUUACCCGGGAUGAUAAUGACAGUACCGGGAGAAUAAGCUCCGGCUAACUCCGUG
rnacentral:rRNA from 1 species